UUGAACGCUGGCGGCAUGCCUUACACAUGCAAGUCGAACGGCAGCGCGGGGCAACCUGGCGGCGAGUGGCGAACGGGUGAGUAAUAUAUCGGAACGUACCCUGGAGUGGGGGAUAACGUAGCGAAAGUUACGCUAAUACCGCAUACGAUCUAAGGAUGAAAGUGGGGGAUCGCAAGACCUCAUGCUCCUGGAGCGGCCGAUAUCUGAUUAGCUAGUUGGCGGGUAAAAGCCCACCAAGGCAACGAUCAGUAGCUGGUCUGAGAGGACGACCAGCCACACUGGAACUGAGACACGGUCCAGACUCCUACGGGAGGCAGCAGUGGGGAAUUUUGGACAAUGGGCGCAAGCCUGAUCCAGCAAUGCCGCGUGAGUGAAGAAGGCCUUCGGGUUGUAAAGCUCUUUUGUCAGGGAAGAAACGGUGGGGGCUAAUAUCUCCUGCUAAUGACGGUACCUGAAGAAUAAGCACCGGCUAACUACGUGCCAGCAGCCGCGGUAAUACGUAGGGUGCAAGCGUUAAUCGGAAUUACUGGGCGUAAAGCGUGCGCAGGCGGUUUUGUAAGUCUGUCGUGAAGUCCCCGGGCUCAACCUGGGAAUUGCGAUGGAGACUGCAAGGCUAGAGUUUGGCAGAGGGGUAGAAUUCCACGUGUAGCAGUGAAAUGCGUAGAUAUGUGGAGGAACACCGAUGGCGAAGGCAGCCCCCUGGGUCAAAACUGACGCUCAUGCACGAAAGCGUGGGGAGCAAACAGGAUUAGAUACCCUGGUAGUCCACGCCCUAAACGAUGUCUACUAGUUGUCGGGUCUUAAUUGACUUGGUAACGCAGCUAACGCGUGAAGUAGACCGCCUGGGGAGUACGGUCGCAAGAUUAAAACUCAAAGGAAUUGACGGGGACCCGCACAAGCGGUGGAUGAUGUGGAUUAAUUCGAUGCAACGCGAAAAACCUUACCUACCCUUGACAUGGCAGGAAUCCCGGGGAGAUCUGGGAGUGCUCGAAAGAGAACCUGCACACAGGUGCUGCAUGGCUGUCGUCAGCUCGUGUCGUGAGAUGUUGGGUUAAGUCCCGCAACGAGCGCAACCCUUGUCAUUAGUUGCUACGAAAGGGCACUCUAAUGAGACUGCCGGUGACAAACCGGAGGAAGGUGGGGGUGACGUCAAGUCCCUCAUGGCCCUUAUGGGUAGGGCUUCACACGUCAUACAAUGGUACAUACAGAGGGCCGCCAACCCGCGAGGGGGAGCUAAUCCCAGAAAGUGUAUCGUAGUCCGGAUUGUAGUCUGCAACUCGACUGCAUGAAGUUGGAAUCGCUAGUAAUCGCGGAUCAGCAUGUCGCGGUGAAUACGUUCCCGGGUCUUGUACACACCGCCCGUCACACCAUGGGAGCGGGUUUUACCAGAAGUAGGUAGCUUAACCGCAAGGAGGGCGCUUACCACGGUAGGAUUCGUGACUGGGUGA
rnacentral:rRNA from 1 species